AAACAACAACUAUGUCAAUGUACUACUAGAAAUAUAAUUCAGCAAGGUAAUAUAAUGCACAAGCUGAAUGAAGCAAAAAGAGAUGGCUAAAUACCCUAAAACAAAAAAUCAAUAGAAAUUGAGUACCCAAAUGAUAAAACUCUGAAGUUUUUCUUUUCAAAACUCAAAACAACAACUACAUAAAUGUACUGCUAGAAAUGUAAUUAAGCAAGGUAAUAUAAUAUGCAUAUAGUUGUAGUGGAAUGAAGUAGAAAGGGAUGGCUAAAUACCCAAAAACCAAAAAUAGAAACCAGAUAUCACCUUAUUGAGAAUAGAGAGAGCACUACAGAUGCGGUAAUGAUCAUCCAUGAAAGACAAGGCACAUAAACAAUUUCUGUCGUACGAAUGCACCUGAUGAAACAACAAAAUUACACAAAUUACGGCCUUUUUAAUCUUCAAUUACUCAAGAAAAACUCAGACCAAAAGCUACCAAAACUUCACAAUUAAGUAAAAAGGUUCGAAAGUGAAAAAAAAUUGCAUUACUUUGAAAAAGAUAAUGGGGAAGAAACAAGAAGAUGCAGUGGGAGAGAAGAAAGAUGGAUUUAGAGAUAGAAAUUUUCAGUUUCUAUCUCACAUGCAUGUCCUAGUUUUAGAGAGAGAAUCUCUAAAAUUAAUUUUAGAGAGAGAAAGAGAAUCCCAAUUGAAUGCUCUUCUCUUGCAGAUCAGAGAGAAGCUCUUCCCACCGAUGACAGAGAAAGAGAGAGUAAACUUAGAGAGAGAAAGAGAGGAGCAUGCGCUAGUUACAAAGACGUCUGCACCACUUAGAGAGAGAAAGAAUUCGAAAGGGUUUGAAAUCGAGAGAUUGGGAAGUUUUUAUAAAGGAUUAAUAAUCCAACGACCAUAAUUAGGGGCAGUGCCGUGAGACUGACGAUCGCAGAGUCGAGGGUUUUCCAGAACAAUGAGAACUUAAGCUUCUCCUUGUGUGCCUCUCCAUGGCCAUGAAAGGCCUAAUUAUAGAGGAUGGAGGAGGCCGUUCUCCAACAUUCGGUUUUCUCCAUAAAACUCUGAAAAACGUGGCCUUGUAAUCUUGGGAUGUAGGUGGCUAUAUUCUACCCGUUAGAUAAUGUCACUUACUCUCUAUAAGAAGCCUCCUUAUUUUAGUGAUAAACAUGAACUUUAAGAUAACAAGAGAAAUAUUUGAAGGCCCCAUGGCCACCCAUAGCGCCAACAUUCUCUCACUUGGCCAUAAGGGCCAGGUAUAUUGAAAUAAUAUCACUUGGUGAUUUAACAUUUAUGAGCAUAUCCUUGUCAUGAGGCUUUUCACGCUAUUGCAGUUAUACAUCUCAUAACAAGAAAUAUCCAAAGUCAUGUCAUGGGGCACACUAAUGCGGCUUUUCCUCUCAUGAUCAAGACAUCAAAAGAAAUAUACCAUUUGGGAGUUCCUAACUUAAAUAUUUUUAAGUUUCAUCCAAGCAACAUGCAUUGAUAAUAUUUCUACACUCAAUCCCUUUGUUAAAGGGUCUACAAUCAUAUCUGAAGAUGGUAAAUAACUUACAGUUAUUUCAUUCUUUUCAAUAAUUUUAUAGAUGUAACAAUAAUCAAUUUCAAUGUGCUUACCCUUGGAACUAUAAGCCCCAUUUCUAAUUGAUAAAAUAGCACCAUGAUUAUUACAAAAAAAUUUAACAGGUCCGUCGGCUAUAUCCAGCUUCAAAUCAUUUAUGAAGCGUUUAGUUCAGACGACAUAAGUUGUAGCAAUGCUACAAGCAAUAUACUCGGCUUCUAUAGUAUACCGAGCUACACAACCUUGUUUCUUGCUAGACCAAGAAAUACAUCCACUCCCAAAGAGGAAUACAAAUUCUGAGGUUGAUUUUCUAUCAUCUGGGUCUCCUGCAAAAUCUGCAUUAAAGUACCCAGUAGCCUCUAAAUUGUCGACUUGAAAGCACAACUUGUAAUUUUUAGUUUUCUGAAUAUAUCUGAGUAUCCUUUUUACGGCUUGCCAAUGAGUCAUCCCAGGAUUACUCUGAAAUCUACUUACAAGACCAUAUGCAUGACUCAAAUCAGGUCUUGUACACAACAUCGCAUAAUUUACGCAUCCUACAGCUUGAGCAUAUGAAAUUCUUUCCAUUUUAGCUUUGUCACUAUCAUUUAAUGGACACAUUUUCUUUGACAAUUUUAAGCCUUUACAAACUGGUAUAUCUAUGGGCAUGCAAUUUUCCAUCUUAAAUCUCUUUAAAAUACUUUUUAAAUAAUUUUCUUAAGAUAAACAUAGAAGUUUCAAAUUUCUAUCUAUUGUUAUCUUAAUGCCCAAUACAUAUGAGGAUUCUCCUAUAUCUUUAAUCUCAAAAUGUGAACUUAGCUAUGAUUUGGUAUGGUUAAUCAUGCUAAUAUCAUUACCGGCUAUCAAAAUAUCAUCUACAUAUAGUGGCAAUAUAACAAAAUUGCUCGCACUAUUCCAGACAUAUACACAAUGGUCUAACAUGUUGGCUAUAUAACCAAUUUCAGUGAUUGCAUUAUGAAAAGUAAAGUACCAUUGUCUAGAAGAUUGUUUUAGACCAUAUAAAGAUUUCUUAAGUUUAUAUAUUUUGUCUUCUUGGCCUUUAAUUACAUAUCCUUUUGGUUGUUUCAUGUAUAUAUCUUCUUUUAAUUCUCCAUUUAAGAAAGCUGUUUUGACAUCCAUCUGAAAUAAUUCUAUAUCAUACUAUGCAACUAAUGAUAAGAUGAUCCUAAUAGAUGAAAAUUUUGCUACAAGAGAAUAAGUCUCUUCAUAAUCUAUAUCCUCCUUUUAAGUAAAUCCUUUAGCUACCAACAUAGCUUUAUAUUUAUCAAUGGAUCCAUUUGCAUUAAGCUUUUCUUUAUGACCCAUUUGCAACCGAUGACUUUUCAAUCUUUAAAGAGGUCAACCAACACCCAAACUUGGUUUCUUUUAAUAUAAUCAAGUUCAUCAUUCAUGGUUUGAGUCCACUCAGCUUAGUCAUUUGAGCUAAUAGCUUCACUGUAGCUUCGAGGUUCAUCUAUUGUACCAUCACUCAUUGAAGAAUAAUUAUUUUCAUUCAUAAAUACAUAAAAUUCUUCUAAAGUCAUAGGUGUGGCUUUAAUUCUUUUAAGUUUGUUUGAUAUACUUAAUUCAAUUGAAUCAUUCUCACCAAAUGUAGAGGGAGUUUGAGAAACAAGGUCUUCCAGACCCUUAUCUUUAUCAAUUUCAUGUAAGUCAACAAACUUAUUUAAAAUAUUUUCAUCAUCUAUAUUUUUUACGAAAUGAGCAUCACGACUCUCUAUUAACGAUCUAGUAUCAUGGUUAUAGAAUAUAUACCCCCUUGGAAUUUUUUGAAUCGCCUAUAAAAUAGCAUUUUAUAGUUUUACUUUGUAAUUUAUCUCUAUUUUGUGGUGGUAUAAGCACAUGUGCCCAAGAACCUCAAACUUUCAAGAUAGUAAUGUUAGGUUUCCUAUCUAUCCAUAAUUCAUAUGGAUCAAGCCUAUAGUUUUAGUUGGGACACAAUUAAUAAUAUACAUUGCAGUGUUGAGAGCUUCACCCCAAAAAUGAAGUGAUAAAUUUGAGUGGCUCAUCAUGGACCUAACCAUGUCCAUUAGAGUUAUAUUUUUCUUUUCAGCUGCGCCAAUUUGUUGUGGGGAAUAUGACAUGGUUGUUUGGUGAAUUAUACCAUGCUGCUUAUAAAAUUCGAUAAAUAAGGCGGAGCAAUAUUCACCUCCCCUAUUUGUUCAAAGAAUUUUAAUAUGUCUACCUAACUUAUUUUCUACCUCAGCUUUAUAUUCUUUAAAACUUUCCAAUGCAUCUGAUUUAUUACUAAUUAGGUAUAUAUAUCCAUUACGUGAAUAAUCGUCUAUAAAUGUUAUAAAAUAUUCCAUACCUCUAUGUAGUUUUACAUUUAAUGGGCGACAUAUAUCAAAGUGAACAAUACUAAGUAGUUCACUAGACAUUUUCCCUUUAGGGAAAGACUUCUUAGUUAGUUUAUCAAAAAUACAUGGCUCGCAUGUUUGAACACAAUUUCUCCUAAAUUGGGGAGCAAGCCUCUUUUAAUCAUUUGAUUCAUUUUGUCUUUAUUUAUAUGUCUUAAUCUUAAGUGCCAUAAAUAUGGAUCAUUCAUACACACAAAAACAUCAAAAGAGGCAUCAGAAUAACUAGAAAGAGAUGAACUUUCAUUAGUAUUCGAUCAGUACAAAUUGUCAAUUUUAGUACCAUACACCAAUGCUUUAGAAUGUUUCCCAAUGGUGACCUGACCAGACCUGAAACUUAUUUCAUAACCCUUGUCGUCUAGCCUAGAGACAUAAAUCAUAUUGCACCUCAGAUUAGGCGCAUAUAAUGUAUUAGUCAAUAAGAGAUUUGUUUCUCCUAUUAAACACCGCUUGAAAGUAUCGACACUUAGUUACAUCACAGUAGGUAUCAUUUCCCAUAUAAAUCCGCUGGUUACCUGAUGCAAUAUCCUUCAACUCUGUGUAUUCGUCCUUGGUCCUUGAGACAUGUCUAGUGGAGGUUGAGUCGACCCACUAAUUUCUCAGGUUAUGGUCGACAACUAUUGAUUCUAGGACUAUACGGAUCAAGUCUUUUCUUUUAUUUUGAUUAUUUCGAACAUGGUUGCUUUUCUGGUUCCUAUUUUAAUUUUUCAGCUUAGGACAAUUAAACUUGAUAUGUUCAAUUUUCUUACAAUAAAAGCAUAUAUUCUCAACCUUAUUCUUUUGAUUUUUAAAAUUUCUUCUAUUUCCCUUAUACCUAUUAUUUUUCUAAUUAUUGAAAGGUUUAUUAGGAGCUUAGAAGAUGAACUUUGGGCAAAGUGGAGCUCAUUGGACUUCUUCCUCAUUGUUCUCUUAGCUUCAAUACUGAGAUGUAUGGGAAGAUUUAACAUAUGGUUAUCCCUUGUGCAGAAUAAUUCAAUGCAAUUACAACAUACUCCCAAUAUGGUAGGAGACUGUUAAGGACAAUGGACACUUGCAUGCGGUCGAGGACUGGAUUUCAAGCUGCAACAAAGUCCUUUACAAGCACUAUCAUUUUCUUGACAUGCUCGGUCACUGAGUCCGAUUCUUUCAUUCUGCAAGAAUUGUAUUUUUCUAACAAAAUUGUACAUGAGUCUUAGAAGUGGUCUCAUACUUUUCAGAUAGGGCACCCAUCAUACUUUGAGCUGUGGUGUGAUCCUCAAAGACUCUAAUUAAAUCAUCUUCCAUAAAGCUCAACAUAGUAGUCCUAGCUACUUUGUCAUCUUCUAAACAUUUUUCAAGUCACCUUCUGGCUUGAUCAUUGACAUCAGGCUCUAAAAUUGGUGGUUCUGUUUUUAGGACAUAAUCUACCUUAUCUUGGAAAAGAAUAUAUCUAAUUUUUCUUUUCCACAUAGAAAAAUUGGUCCUAUUGAGUUUUUCAAGUUUGGAUAGUUCUGACAUAACUAGCCUAGAUGCCAUUUUAAAUUUUUAGAUAAUACCUAAAAGUUCAAAAAAAUUAAUUUUAUUUAAGAAAGGGUUGUCUGCUAGCUAAAUCAAUAGGUUUGCCGACUCUUAGUGAGCUGCAACCUCAAAGAAAAAUUUUCUCAAGUAGUUUAUGUUCGCACUGUUGUGAUGCAACAUAAAAUUAAUAAAGUAAUGCGACAACUACUUUUUGUCAAAUCUUGCAUAAGAAUAAUUUUCAUAAAUAUGUAAAUGUCUUAGCACAAGAGAGAGUGUGUGCAAUGAUAUUUGAUAUGUUUCAACAAAAAUAUGCCAUUGCAUAAUCACAAAAAAAAAAAUUGAAUUCACAAAAUCAAGAUCAUGAAAUUCUCUCAUUUUAAGAGACCAAAACAUAUGAUAAUUAUGCUAAACAAUGACAAUUAUUAUGUAAAUAGAAUAUGUAGAAAAUUCCCUAAAUUAUAGACCACAAGUGCAUGCAAUUGUUAUGUACACUUUCACUCAAACUAUCCCUAGACCUUAAGAUCCGAUCGGCUUGAAGUUAUGGAUAUUUUUAACUGUAGGGAAGUUGUUUUUUCGCCAUGUCUACAAAGAGGCCAAUGACAUAGCAAAUGGGCUGGCCAAGAGUGGGGUUAAUAGCACUCAUGUUGUAAUUUAUGUCUUUUUACCAUUGAAAUUCUCUCUUUCGAAUCUUAUAAAUAAAAUAUUGGGAAAAUUGUUUAAGACCCCCAAAUAUGGACUUUCUAGGCACUUUACCUCCGACCCAACUUUUUCUAACAUAAUUUUUCCUAAAACCAACUUUUUUUGACAAAAAUACCCUUCCUUUAUAUAACAAAUUAUUUUCGCUGGAGAUGGCGGUCCGGUGUUUAAAAGAGACGGUUCGGUGUUUAGAAGAGGCAGUCCGGCUUUUCAUUGUGAUGGUCCGGGGAUUAUACUAUUGGACAAAUAGGUAGUCCGGCGUUUUGAAAUAGCAGUCCGGCAAUUUGAAGGGGCAACUCGUUAUUUUAAAGUGGCGGUACGGCAUUUUGAAAGGGAUUUCCAGCAUUUUAAAGUGGCGGUUCGGCGUUUUGAAGUGAGAAGUCUGGCAUUGUACAAGUACGGUAUUUUUGUUAUGUUUGAGAAUGGUAUUUUCGUAAAAAAAAAUAACUUUUUGUAUUGGGGGUAUUUGCUAAAAAAGUUGGUUUUAAAGAAAAAUAUGUUAAUAAAAGUUAGACUAAUGGUAAAACGGCUAGAAAGUCCAUAUUUUGAGGUUUUUAAGCAAUUUCCCCUAAAAUAUAGUCAUCUUAUGAAAAGGGAACAAAGUAGUUAGGACCUACCUUUACUCAUUCCCAUCAAAGGUCCUCAUCGAAGCAAGCCAUAUAUUAUUCUUUGAAACACAUCAGUAUACCUUCUUCUUUUUUCAUAUUACAUGACCAAGAUACUCGCUUUUUCUUUUCAAUGUGGCCAAAUUAAAAUAUGGAAGUCUUCAAUUAUUAUGCAUGUUCAAUAUCAAAAAAUUUCAUAAAGCCUAACCACCAAUAUAUACUCACCCGUUGCCAAAAGUUGUCCUCUCUUCCUACCUAUCGUAUUUGCAGCAGCAUUUUAUGACGUAUUGCAUGAUAUGAUGUUUUCAACAUCGUGCUAGUCCAUACACUCAAAAAAGAAUUAAAAAAUAAAAAAAAUGGUCCGUUGUUCAGAACAUUAGAUUUUGGGGUAAAUAAAAAAUAAAAAAUGCAUGAGUUUUUGAAAAAAUACUAUUCAGAAAAUUGUAAAUAUCGGACUGGUGUACAUCCACGUAAAAUUUGCCUAAAUUUGUUCUCAUCCAUAAUUACCAUAUAUUUAAAUAUGUUACGGACGUAAUUUUCCGUAAUUUAAAAGUCAACAAUCCUGUGAGCCUCUUCUCAAUUGGGGUUUGGAUCUCUCUCUCGGCACACAAUUUUAAGGCAUUAUCUACUCACAACGAGGCUAUAUUUUUUUUUUGUACAAGUUGUUAUUACCCUUGGCCAUUAGAUUGAGUGGGUUUCAUCAAAGUCAUUUUGUUCUUGAGCUGGUAUCCCAUACUUCGGCGAGGGCAUAUACUAUACACUUAUUCCCACAGGUAUAAAACUAACUUGGGAAGUUUUUUCUGAUCCGAUAUUAGGAACCGACCUAAAAAAUAAAAAAUUAGAUGUUUGAGUUCUAUAACACUUAUGUCUCACCCCUCAAAAAUUCAAUCAUGACGCAUUAGUUUUUUUCAGCCCACAGAGAAAGCAAUUAUAAAUUUCGUUUUAUUGAGAAUAGCAUAAGGUUUGAAGAGGUACCCAAAAUUUGGGAUUCAAAAGAGUCUCCUAGAUUGGCUUUUGCUCAAGGGAAUAAAUGGGUAGUAUGCUCCCUUGGGAGCAUGAAAUCUUUUAGCGUCGUUCAUUUGGAAUAAUUAAGGUAAGCAAUUUCGUGAGCCUCUGCCUUUUCAAGGAAAGACGAUGCCCUCACAGAUUUGAGAGGAAGGACUGUGCUGACCAUAGCAGGAUAGUGUUCAUUUUUCUCCCAAUUGGAUUGAUGAGAAGCGCUCCCAUCCAUCCGAUUUUUAAUGGGAUGGAUGAUGAGAAGCGCUCCCAUCCAUCCGACAUUUUAAUGGGAUGGUUGAGUGUUGAAGAUGCUAAAUUUUGUAGUUGAGAAAUCCUUAACUGUAGACCCGGACCCGACCCAUCGGGUCCAAAUGUUGGACCCAUACCCACGUGUCCGUGUCAGUUUUACCCGGCAAGUCUGAUUCAAGUCUGGGUCCAUUGCCAUCCUUACCAAAGAAGAUAUCGGACCAAUAAUAGACAAAAGGAAAAGUAAUACGUGCAUCACGGGACGCACUUCGACAAUAGCGUUGCGACACACCACAUCAAUCUCGUAGCGCCACAAAAAGAUGAAAUAAUAUGGGUUUCAAAUUUUAUUAAGAAAUCUCAUUUUACUUUUUGUUUAUUUAUAUUUUUCCCAAUACAUGUUCAUCAAGGUUUACAUUUUAGAUCUAAUAUCCAUAUUUAAAAUGGAUUUUAGAGAGAGGAGUCAUCUAAAUAGGUGAGGCGGGGACUCAUAAAACCCAUUUCCUAAGCAAAAAGCAAGCCAUAUUAGUCCAUUGCCUAUGCCAUGAAGGGGCCCAUAUCAUGAUGUGGCCUCUAUCUUCGCCAUCCAUUUGGAAUAGGAUGCCUGCGGCCAGCGGCCACCGUCGGCCAAGCACCACACACGCACGUGCGCGCACAAAAAGGAAACACCAUGCCUCAAUUUGGCAACUUCGAAUAGGUCACAACACUGCAUCCCAAGUCCCUGGCUCAUCUAACAGUAAGGUCCAUCACCAUGCAAAAACUUUUAUCUGCAAAUUGAGAGUGAAAAUAAAUUUAACCGACAAGUAAGUAUGAAAUAAUUCAUGCUGAAAAAAAAAAGCUAAACCUGAAAUACACCUAGCAAUAUAAUCCAAAAAGCAUAGAUGGAGUGGAACAGCCCCAAUAAUGCAGACAGAAGCGAGUUCCUUUAAUAGCUUUUACAUUUAUAAUUUCCCUUCUAAGCUUUUACAGAUGGUGAGGAAUUAUCAAGACCAUCAAUGAGAAGUGACCCAUCAUUGAUGUCAUCCAAUCAAGUACCUAAUUUAUCCGUGCAACCUGCUGAACUUCAUUCACAUUUCAAUUAAUGGAACUCUCAGAGCUUGUGGCUGGUCCACAAAUAUUCUCAUAUGAAUACAUUUCGCUGCAGAUUUUGAUGAGCUGAAGAAGAACUAGAACCACACUCAACUGUUGCUCAAGGAACCAAUCUCCUCAAGGGUGUAUUGAAGUUGAACAAGGGAAGCUUUAGACCCUCAACUUAUUCAACAAAUAGUUUCAUUUACACUGAUAGGGUGUGGAAGCAAAUCAUAAAACCAUGACCACAAGAAGCAACAAGAAUUGAAUAAUGAAAAGAAAGAAUUAGGAUAUGGCAGGCAAUACUCGAUGUUCGAAACUUCCUUGCCCAGCACUAUUCAAGUGGCAGCUGCUGUUGGCUGACUAUCUUCACCUGCUCGAGUACGUAUGAAGUUAAAAACUCGAUGUUUGUCCCUUCACAAGGUGCUCCACAACUCCUCAAUUUUGUGCUUGAGAAGCUCUACUUCCUUUGCUAAAUCCUCGUCCCUUUGUCUCAAUUUCUACAAAGUCCGGAAAAGAUUUGCACCAGAGAGAAGUCAAAUAACAUUAAUGGCUUUCAAGAUGUUAGUCAAAUUCACAAUAAAUUCCAUUGCAUCACCUCUCUUUCAUGUUCUAAACAUGGAAAAGUAAACAAGAAUGCUAGGAACUUUACUCUAGUAAGAAAUAAAUAGCAGUAAGCGCAGGAAGGGAAAGCAUAUCAAGAGAAGUUUUCUACUAUUGAAGCUUAGACAUGGACAAGUAACAGCAAGAACACAAGAAAUUUCACUAUGAUAAGCCUUGAAUAGCACCAGUAAUAUUGGUUUUUUUGGUGAGCCAUAAUAGCAACGAUAAAAGGGAAGCAUUUCUUGACAAGAAAAUUUCCACUUUUAAAGACCUCUUCUUUUGCAUCUUCAUAAUAUUUUUAUAGCCAACCAGUAAAAAGAGCGCAUUACCCAUAGAAUUUCCAAAAUCUUGAUUUCCCCGAAAUCCACACUCACUUUCAAACUAUUACAGCAUGCAUUUUUCUAGUUCUAUUAGAAUAUACUUUUAAGAGAUAAUAAAUAAGAGGACUGAUUUCAUGUAACGGUUGUAUAGUAGUAUAAUGCAACCACACCUCUAGAAAACCAUGUUUUUGGCAUUUGUAUGACCCCAAAUAUUGCACACACAUUCUCCUCAUCCUCAUAAUCAAUCCUACAAAAAAAAAAAUAUUCAAUUUAAACCCUAGAUAUGGUCAAAAUUAGUACACUCCAACAAUGAAUCUCGAUCGUCCAUUUGGUGAAUUUCAAGAUCUAGGCCUUAACAGACUCAAAAUUACUUUUUUUCUUUUUCAGUAUUGUUAAUCUAAUGAUGAUAACACUAUAUAAAAAUUUCGACAAUAAAAAAUUCCUUUUGAGGCCUAUAUCUAACCAUCUCAUUAAAAUGGAUGGCUUAUAUUAAUUGAGCAAGAAAAAAACUUUCUUGGGUGUUUUUUCAAAAUCUUCUUUUUUGUGAUUGUUCUAUAGAAUAAAAAGAGUGCACAUUUAAAAAUUUGUAUCAAACAAAUGUCUUUAAGAUGGUUUUUGAAGAUGGUUGGAUUAUACUACCAUACAACCGUUGCAUGAAAUCAUUUCUCAAUAAAUAAGUAUGACAAAUAAUAUAGAAAAAUGCAGGAUUUGUUACAAUUUCAUAUCAUUUAUAUUAAAAAUCCCCACUUUAUAGAAAAUUAUUUAUUUUAAAGUCCCAUUCUUCGUACUCAAAAAUGUUUGUACAUGCAAAUGAUUUGAUGAUGUUGUAAACCUACUUUUUCUCUUUUUGACGAAUCCUCUCUCUCUCUCUCUCUCUCAGUAGUAAAAGUUGGAAAGAGAAAAAUAUGUACUGUUACGGAUGUACAAGAAUUUUGGGAAGUUGAAAUAGUUGGUGCUAUAACGAGUUAAAACUGUCCAGCACAUAACGGUUCGUUUUAUAACCGUCGGGGCCAAGAUGAAGAUGUUCGAAAUGGCCAUUAUAUCAUCUAUGCUAAGUCCAAGCUAAAAGACUUUAAACUGUCUAGCACAUGACAGGUUUAAACAAACUGUCAGGGUCAAGGUAUGGACAUUUGAGGUAGCCGCAAUACGCCACCAACGGCCAUACUUGACUGACCCCUUUCAUAUAUAGUCCAUGUCUCAAGACUCUAAACUGAUCGGUGCAUACUCCAUACAUAGCACAUGACUAUAAAUUGCAUGUUACUGGCAAAAUAUAUAGCUACCUAGUAUGAAUUUCCAAAAUCUUGAUUUCCCCCAAAUCCACACUCACUUUCAAACAAUUACAGCAAUGCAUUUUUCUUGUUCUAUUUGUGCAUCUGUUUGCUACAGAAAAGUCUCUUUGUUUAUUCUUUCAUUAUGCAUCAAUUAUUUUUUCCAUCAACUAAUAACCUGAACUUUUUCGGCAUGUUAUCCCAGUCUGGUUUUGCAGCAAACUGUAACAUAUGUCCUGACAGGAGACUUAGGGACAGAUAUGAGGCUCAAAAGAGAAAAGACCAAACAUAUUUGGCUUCUGAGAUUGGAAUAUCUUUCGACGACUUUCCUGUUGAUCUAUUUUAAGUUGACGGGCAGCUAAGCUUGAGAUAACUCCUCAAGACCAUAGUUAUCAACAGAAAAACACAGUUCUACAUGUGCCGUAUUUCUUUAUUGAGUUCUAUAACAUAUAUAAAAUCAGAAACAAUGAAAUGCACGCAAAAAAAAAAAGCUUCUGAAAGAAUAGAUUCUGCUAGAGCAAAUGCUAAAAAAUGGAAACUUGUCAGAAGUUGUACUCUGCUCAUGCUGACUGAUACAAACAGACUUGUGCAACAAGUGCUCUCACAAUGGUUACUUAAAAUAAGAUCUCCUCAGCAAUAAAUUCUCAUAAAUAUAUCGUAAAAAUACAUGAAUGAAUAUGGAAAAAGAAAGCAAUGGCAAUUGCACCAAAGGGAAGAAUAUCAUGAACUAACCUCCAGCUCCAUCUUUCGUGUUUGUUCCUUCCGGCAACCUGCAGUGGCUCAAGCUCUAGAGGACGAGGAGGAGAGAACAAUGAGAGAAAGGAUGGCUAGGGCUUCCAGAGAGAGUAACACCCCAUAUUUGUUUGUGUGCCAGCAAGCUUUAGGCGAGUUUUAAUUGUUGAAGUUUGGCUCCACAUGGAAAUUAGUAUGAAAGAGAGAGAGAGAGAGAAAAUGAGACACCAAGUACAAAUUAACAAUUGUAACAAUUACACAUUUACAAGUAUAAUAAUUAACUCAAGAAAUAAUGGAACAUACAAAAUAAUCAAUUCAAGAGAUCAAUUACAAAUCUACAAUUCUAAUAAUCAGACAACGAUAAUUGAACGUAAAAACAACUAACUCCAGACAAUGCAAUCCCUCAACAAAUUCAACAGACCCAUUCAAGAUGUCUUGGGGACCCCCAAACCGUGUUGUUGGCAUGGGAGAGACUUACAUUGCAGGGAGUUUUGAGGUCUUCUUUUUCUUGGCGGUAGGCUUGGUCGAGGGAGACCCCUCUUCUUACUACAUUUCCCUAUUUCUUUCUCACCACCAUAAAUAUCCAAGAAGAAAGAGUGGUUUUGUAGGGUAAAUAAUCGCCACUACCUAAUCUAUUACUUGGUAAAAAGGCAUGCAGCCUCCCACUACUGAAGCCAUAGCUCAUAAUCUUCUCACUGUUCUCACCGUAGAUCAAAAAAAUGUGCCCUCCACAUACAAGCACUGGCGAGGGGCGCCUAUUACUUUUAUUCUGCCCACUUUCACUGUCACGCUCAUAGCCCAACUCACACAGAUCUAUGUUGAUCAUCUCCACCCACUUCUUCUCCGCGAUGACUAAAAACCACACGAUCAACUUUAAAUCUGGCCCUACGGCCACAAGAGAAACAUGGCCAUUCCAAUCCAAGACCGCAACAUGGUCAACCCACACCGAGAGUUCUAAUCCAGUUUGAAGCUCCGAUGGUGCACGUACAACCUCUACAGCCUCUCUGACCAUGUCGAAGCCGAUCAACCUGCAGUCCAUAGUGUCAUAGGUGUAGCAUGUAUGGCCAAUAGACACUAGAUUCUUGCGGCCAAAGAUCAGAGAUUUUUUUGGCAUGCUUUCAAGGCACCUCCACUGUCCAGUGGCAGAGUCAAACAGAUGGUAUUUCGGAAUGGGCUUCCAUUCAAACACAUUCGACACCACAGUAAAAACCCUGAAACUGCGAUGCUGGGGGUCAAAAUAGAAUCCGAAAUAGAAUGCCCAGGAUCCGGGAACAGCAGGAAGGCAGGUGGAUUGGCCGGUUGCAGGGUUGACAAUAGUAAAGAGACCCCUACCUGUCAAGGUACAAAGGAUGCCAUUGCUGCAUCCCACCCUCAUGUCCGGCUUUCUAAGCAUCCAAGAAGAGCAUGAUUCAUUAUGGGAAAGGUUAUGAAGUUGCAUGAUGUUAUCACGUUUGAGGGAGAUGGUGAAAAUUGGAGAUUUUUCGUGGUGGGAAAAUGGGAGGAAGAUGGCACAAGGUUGAGAGAGAGAAUGAGGGUAGAGCGAGUGGGUCCUUGCAAAGUUGGGGGAGGACAAAAGUUCAUCCCAAGAUCUUGAGACACUCUUGAGACCCAAGAUACAAGGGACAGGCAACUUGAGUAGGAUUUCUUCUACUAAGUCAUUCGGCAAAAUGCCUGAUAGAGAACCCAUCGUGAGAGGGAAUGGAAAGCACCAGGUCAAAGAGAGUGGAUGAGAGAGAAAAUGAAAAGUACUGGUUAGAGAGAGAGAGAAGUACUUGGUUAAAUAAUGUGGGUUAAAGAAAAUGGAGAGGGGUAGGGGUACGUUGGUUAAAUAAGUGUAGGGUUAAAGAAAGUGGAGAGGGGGAGGGGAGGGGGAGGGGGGAGGGGAGGGGAGGGGAGGGGGUAGGAGAAGAGAGAAGUGAAGNNNNNNNNNNNNNNNNNNNNGGAGGGGGGAGGAAGAGAGAAGAGAAGACGUACUACGUCGUGUGUGUGUGUGUGUGUGUGUGUGUGUGUGUGUGUGUGUGUGUGUGUGUGUGUGUGUGUGUGUCGUGUGUGUGUGUGUGUGUGUGUGUGUGAGAGAGAGAGAGAUACACCUGGUUAGUGAGAGAAAAUAGAGAGAGAGUUUCUAACUGAUAAAGAUACCAGGCCUUCUUUGGUAUGUUACCAUAAAUCACCAAAUAUCAAUAGAAAUUGAGCACCCAAAUCAUAAAAACUCUUAAGUUUUGCUUUUAAAAACUCCAAACAACAACUAUGUCAAUGUACUGCUAGAAAUAUAAUUCAGUAAGGUAAUAUAAUACGCAAGCUGAAGGAAGCAGAAAGAGAUGGCUAAAUGCCCUAAAACAAAAAAUCAAUAGAAAUUGAGUACCCAAAUCAUAAAAACUCUAAAGUUUUUCUUUUCAAAACUCAAAACAACAAUUACGUAAAUGUACUGCUAGAAUGCAAUUCAGCAAGGUAAUAUAAUAUACAAAUAGUUGUAGCUGAAUGAAGCAGAAAGAGAUGCCUAAAUACCCUAAAACCAAAAAUAGAAAUCAGAUAUCACCUUAUUGAGAAUAGAGAGAUCACUACAGAUGGGGUAAUGGUCAUCCAUGAAAGCCAAGGCACAUAGACAAUUUCUGUGGUACAAAUUCACCUGAUGAAACAACAAAAUUACACAAAUUACGGCCUUUUUAAUCUCCAAUUACUCAAGAAAAACUCAGAACAAAAGCUACCAAAACUUUACAAUUAAGUAAAAAGGUUCGAAAAUGAAAAAAAAAAUUGCAUGACUUUGAAAAAGAUAAUGGGGAAGACACAAGAAGAUGCGGUGGGAGAAGAAAGAGGGAUUUAGAGAGAGAAAUUACCUGUUAGAGGAAGUGAUUUCCAGUUUCUAUCACACAUGCAUGCCCUAGUUUUAGAGCGAGAAUCUCCAAAAUUAAGUUUAGAGAGAGAAAGAGAAUCCCGUUUGAAUGCUCUUCCCUUGCAGAUCAGAGAGAAGCUCUUCCCACCGGCGACAGAGAAAGAGAGAGUAAACUUAGAGAGAAAGAGAGGAGCAAAC
rnacentral:lncRNA from 1 species